AUUGAACGCUGGCGGCAGGCCUAACACAUGCAAGUCGAGCGGUAGCACAGAGAGCUUGCUCUCGGGUGACGAGCGGCGGACGGGUGAGUAAUGUCUGGGAAACUGCCUGAUGGAGGGGGAUAACUACUGGAAACGGUAGCUAAUACCGCAUAAUGUCGCAAGACCAAAGUGGGGGACCUUCGGGCCUCAUGCCAUCAGAUGUGCCCAGAUGGGAUUAGCUAGUAGGUGGGGUAAUGGCUCACCUAGGCGACGAUCCCUAGCUGGUCUGAGAGGAGGACCAGCCACACUGGAACUGAGACACGGUCCAGACUCCUACGGGAGGCAGCAGUGGGGAAUAUUGCACAAUGGGCGCAAGCCUGAUGCAGCCAUGCCGCGUGUGUGAAGAAGGCCUUCGGGUUGUAAAGCACUUUCAGCGGGGAGGAAGGCGGUGAGGUUAAUAACCUCAUCGAUUGACGUUACCCGCAGAAGAAGCACCGGCUAACUCCGUGCCAGCAGCCGCAGUAA
rnacentral:rRNA from 1 species